rnacentral:rRNA from 1 species
GACGGAGGAUGCAAGCGUUAUCCGGAAUGAUUGGUGCGUAAAGCGUCCGCAGGUGGCAGUUCAAGUCUGCUGUCAAAGACCGGGGCUUAACUUCGGAAAGGCAGUGGAAACUGAACAGCUAGAGUAUGGUAGGGGCAGAGGGAAUUCCUGGUGUAGCGGUGAAAUGCGUAGAGAUCAGGAAGAACAUCGGUGGCGAAGGCGCUCUGCUGGACCAUAACUGACACUCAGGGACGAAAGCUAGGGGAGCGAAUGGG